rnacentral:rRNA from 1 species
GACGAACCGUGCGAACGUUGUUCGGAAUCACUGGGCUUAAAGGGCGCGUAGGCGGGCUGCCAAGUCCGUGGUGAAAUCCCCCGGCUCAACCGGGGAACGGCCUCGGAUACUGGCGGCCUGGAGGGGGGGGUAGGGGCGUGCGGAACUGUGGGUGGAGCGGUGAAAUGCGUUGAGAUCCACAGGAACUCCGGUGGCGAAGGCGGCACGCUGGACCCUUUCUGACGCUGAGGCGCGAAAGCCAGGGGAGCGAACAGG